GGCUCUGGAAGAGGUUCUCCCACUGCCCAGGCACGGAGGACCCACGUCUGCCUGAGAAUGGUUGUUCAUUCCAUUCAUUAGCACCAAGUGUCAAGCCCCUACUUUACGUGGGCUCUUGCUGCCAGUGGGAUAUGAUGAGAUAGGAGCAAUCUUGUCUGCAUAGAGCUACACAAGGUAAAGAGAGGACCAACAUGGAGAGAGCAGAUACCUACUAACUGAUCUCUUGUUACUGUUCACGUGACAGAGGAUCAUCGCACCAUCUCCCACGGCCAAUUUUGGAUAUUUCUGCCUGAGAGAGAGAAGAUCCUGGGUCCCAGUGUUGGUCUUCUCCAGAGCGCCCCCUGGAGGAGGUGGUGACCGCAGAGCUUGAGCGCAGAGAGAGAUAACAGGUGACUAAGGAUCCGGAUGUGGAUCUCUCAGCUCCUCUAGCACAAGUUCUGUCUCUGUGCCACCAUGCUUCCUGCCAAGCUGAUCAUGGACUAAUAACCCUCUGAAACACUGAGCCAGUUCAAAUAGGACACAGCAGGCCCUGAGAAGUUGUCAUAAGAAUGGAAGAUCAAGGACUGGGAGAACAAAGGGCACAUUGAGCGGGUUCCUGCCGGGCUGACUGGAAUUGCACCACCCCCGAGUGCUUGCUCAGAAAAUAACAGUCAUCCUUUACGGCCUAAUCCUGUCUUAGGCUUUCCAAAGUGGAGGCCAGCUGGUGUUAAGAUCCAACAUCUGCGACUUCACCAGACACCUCCCCUGGAAGUCUGGAGACACAGUAGGGAAUUUACGAUUUGUUCAACUUUGAGGGGGUCAAUCUGUAACUCAAAGGCUGACAUCUCAGGCCCUGGAAAGCCUCUGGAUUGUUCCUUCUACAGCCCCCCCUCACCUUUGCUGUC